AUGUGUGUAUGUGUGUGUGUGUAUGUGCAUGCUUUCAUCUAACCACACAUCUCAUACACAAAUACUAAU
rnacentral:pre_miRNA from 1 species